rnacentral:rRNA from 1 species
UACGUAGGGUGCGAGCGUUAAUCGGAAUUACUGGGCGUAAAGCGUGCGCAGGCGGUUUUGUAAGACAGGUGGGAAAUCCCCGGGCUUAACCUGGGAACUGCGCUUGUGACUGCAAGACUCGAGUACGGCAGAGGGGGGUAGAAUUCCACGUGUAGCAGUGAAAUGCGUAGAGAUGUGGAGGAAUACCGAUGGCGAAGGCAGCCCCCUGGGUCGAUACUGACGCUGAGGAGCGAAAGCGUGGGGAGCGAACAGG